rnacentral:rRNA from 1 species
CCUACGGUGGGCUGCAGUGGGGAAUAUUGGACAAUGGGCGAAAGCCUGAUCCAGCCAUGCCGCGUGUGUGAAGAAGGCCUUCGGGUUGUAAAGCACUUUCAGUGGGGAAGAAAGCCUUGGGGCUAAUACCCUCGAGGAAGGACAUCACCCACAGAAGAAGCACCGGCUAACUCCGUGCCAGCAGCCGCGGUAAUACGGAGGGUGCGAGCGUUAAUCGGAAUUACUGGGCGUAAAGCGCGCGUAGGCGGUCUGAUAAGCCGGUUGUGAAAGCCCCGGGCUCAACCUGGGAACGGCAUCCGGAACUGUCAGGCUAGAGUGCAGGAGAGGAAGGUAGAAUUCCCGGUGUAGCGGUGAAAUGCGUAGAGAUCUGGAGGAAUACCAGUGGCGAAGGCGGCCUUCUGGACUGACACUGACGCUGAGGUGCGAAAGCGUGGGUAGCAAACAGGAUUAGAUACCCCUGUAGUC